rnacentral:lncRNA from 1 species
GAAAUAUAGAUAUUUCAUUGCUAAUUAGUAGCUUUACAAAAGAUCUGCGUAAUACAACCAGAAGCUAAUGCUUCGGCAGCUACCAAAUUCUGUAAUAUUAAAGGAGGAAAGAUAUUCCAGUUAUGGACCAUAUCUGAUCUACCGUGGGCCUUGGCAGCCCAAUCAGCAACUCCAUUAGCUUCCCUCUUGCAAUACUGAAGACUGAAGUUAGGGCACAGAGAGAGCAAAUGAGAAAUCUCUGCGAACAGCGCUCGUUCUUUCCACGGGGGGCUCUGUUUCUCAUGAAGAAUCUCGAGCAUGGCCAAGCAAUCCGAUUCGAUGAUGAUGUUGGCCAUGUUGAGUCCCUGAUGCAGCAGAUGAUUAAGAGCGGAAGCUAGCGCCUGUACUUCGGCUUGAAAGGGAGAAGCGGCGGGACAUCGACGGGUAUAGACAUCGGUGAGUAUCCCUUGAUGAUUUCGACUGAUACACGCUACGUUGCCUUCGUGACUCCCUGGUUGAUGAGAUGCAUCUAUAUUGCAUUUUAGAUAUCCCCGAUCCGGAGGUUUCCAAAGUAAAGCUGAUCGUCGUUCAGCCGGAUGCGCUGUGUGCGAUUCGUGCGGUCCUUGAUGCUGUGCAGAAGAAAUGCCAUGAAUCCGAGUCAGGGCAAGGGCAUCGAUCACAGCUCGG